AUUGAACGCUGGCGGCAGGCUUAACACAUGCAAGUCGAACGAGUGGCGGACGGGUGAGUAAUGCAUGGGAAACUGGCUGAUGGAGGGGGAUAACUACGGGAAAAGGUAGCUAAUACCGCGUAACAUCGGAUGUGCCCAGGGGGGAUUAGGUAGUUGGUGAGGUAAAGGCUCACCAAGCCGACGGGCUCUAGCUGGUCUGAGAGGAUGACCAGCCACACUGGAACUGCGACACGGCCCAGACUCCUACGGGAGGCAGCAGUGGGGAAUAUUGCGCAAUGGGGGCAACCUGACGCAGCCAUGCCGCGUGAAUGAAGAAGGCCUUCGGGUUGUAAAGUUCUUUCGGUAGCGAGGCGUUACCUACAGAAGAAGCACCGGCUAACUCCGUGCCAGCAGCCGCGGUAAUUC
rnacentral:rRNA from 1 species